GUGGGGAAUAUUGGACAAUGGGGGCAACCCUGAUCCAGCAAUGCCGCGUGAGUGAUGAAGGCCUUCGGGUUGUAAAGCUCUUUUACCAGGGACGAUGAUGACGGUACCUGGAGAAUAAGCCCCGGCUAACUUCGUGCCAGCAGCCGCGGUAAUACGAAGGGGGCGAGCGUUGUUCGGAAUUACUGGGCGUAAAGGGCGCGUAGGCGGUUUGACAAGUCAGGCGUGAAAUUCCCGGGCUUAACCUGGGGGCUGCGCUUGAUACUGUCGAGCUUGAAUUCGGGAGAGGAUGGCGGAAUUCCCAGUGUAGAGGUGAAAUUCGUAGAUAUUGGGAAGAACACCGGUGGCGAAGGCGGCCAUCUGGCCCGACAUUGACGCUGAGGCGCGAAAGCGUGGGGAGCAAACAGGAUUAGAUACCCGGGUAGUCC
rnacentral:rRNA from 1 species